CUCCACUGUUUUCUCUCCCUCAUUUGGUAUUCCACCAUCUUACUGUUCUCUCCCAUUUCUCUCUUCUUUCUCUCCAUUUUUUAUUUUCAUUUUUCCAAAUAAGGGCUUCGUUUUCGCAUGUAAGAAACAAGGGCUUCGUUUUCGGCUUGGUUCGUCAUGUAUGAUGGUAUUUUACUUUUUUCGCACAAAAACAAACCAAAAGCUUCGACCUUUUUGUUCAUAAACGUUGUUUGUUGUUCGUUUUCGGCUUGGUUUGCAGGUAUGAUGGUAUUUCAAGCCAUAAGGUUCGACCUUUUUGUUCAUAAAAAACGUUGUUUGUUGUUCAUUUUCGGCUUGGUUUGCAGGUAUGAUGGUAUUUCAAGCCACAAGGUUCGACCUUUUUGUUCAUAAAAAAUGUUGUUUGUUGUUCGUUUUUGGUUUGGUUUGCAGGUAUGAUGGUAUUUCAAGCCACAAGGUUCGACCUUUUUGUUCAUAAACGUUGUUUGUUGUUCGUUUUCGGCUUGGUUUGCAGAUAUGUAGCAUUGGGUAUCUUUGUGACCGACAGCAACAACGAAGACAACAAAUAGUGUCCGACAUGAAAAGAACAGUCUUAUUUGACCGUGGUUGAGUAUUCUUCUUCUUUUGCAAGACAAAAGCCACAGAUCAUAGUAUGUUGGAUAGCUUACAGGUUUGUUUUCCCUCCCCGUCUCCUUCUGCGUUUUCAUUUUAUCUCUUUUUGCAUUUGUAUGUGUUUUUUUUUAUUUCGACUUUUUGUUUUUUCACUACAUGUUCAUUGUUAGGUUCAUUUUCCCUCCCCGUCUUCUUCUGCAUUUUCAUUUUACCUCUUUUUGCAUUUGUAUGCAUUUUUUUAUUUCAGUUUUUUGUUUUUUCACUGCAUGUUCAUUGUUUCUUCUAAAACUACGAUUUUUUCUCCAAAAAGCUUUGAUUUUUGGGUUCUAACAAUGCAAAAUAUUGAAUUUUUUAUCUCGGCCUUAUUUGUCCGUAGUUGAGUAUUGUUCUUCCUUUGCAUUUCGUGUUUCUUUUGUUCUGCCUUUGUUUUGUUAGUUCUCGCAGUGAAAAGAUAUAAUUUUUUGGUGUUCCUGAACCAUGUUGACCUUUUUCGUGUUCCUGAACAUGCUUCGUUUUCUUCGAAGGAGAAAACUUUGUUUUCUUUGCCCGAUGCUGACGUGGAUGAGUAAGUGCUUACGUGUGGUAAUGUCAAGAACCCUCAUUCCCGCCCAAAAACUUCACUGUCAACCUCCAUUUAUAUUAAUGAUUUUUAUUAAUUUUAAUUUUAUUGUGCAUUUAAUACUUUUUGUCUUUUGCGUUGUUUUUGCUCCGGUUACGAUGCAUUUAUUCAUUUAUUUCCAUUGUAAGUUUAAAUAUGUAAUAAUUAAUUAUUUGUAUUAUGUUCCCAAGAUGUUUGUCUUUCCAAUGUAUUUUUCUAUUCCCGAGACUUGGCUUUUCAAUGUGCUUUUAUUUGCCUUUCCAAUGCAUUUUUUUGUUCCCAAGACUUGCCUUUUCAAUGCAUUUUUCU